UACGUAGGGUGCAAGCGCUAAUCGGAAUUACUGGGCGUAAAGCGUGCGCAGGCGGCUUUGCAAGACAGAUGUGAAAUCCCCGGGCUUAACCUGGGAACUGCAUUUGUGACUGCAUGGCUAGAGUGCGGCAGAGGGGGAUGGAAUUCCGCGUGUAGCAGUGAAAUGCGUAGAUAUGCGGAGGAACACCGAUGGCGAAGGCAAUCCCCUGGGCCUGCACUGACGCUCAUGCACGAAAGCGUGGGGAGCAAACAGG
rnacentral:rRNA from 1 species